rnacentral:rRNA from 1 species
AGUGAACGCUGGCGGUAGGCCUAACACAUGCAAGUCGAACGGCAGCACAGUAAGAGCUUGCUCUUACGGGUGGCGAGUGGCGGACGGGUGAGGAAUACAUCGGAAUCUACUUUUUCGUGGGGGAUAACGUAGGGAAACUUACGCUAAUACCGCAUACGACCUACGGGUGAAAGCAGGGGAUCUUCGGACCUUGCGCGAUUGAAUGAGCCGAUGUCGGAUUAGCUAGUUGGCGGGGUAAAGGCCCACCAAGGCGACGACCCGUAGCUGGUCUGAGAGGAUGAUCAGCCACACUGGACUGAGACACGGUCCAGACUCCUACGGGAGGCAGCAGUGGGGAAUAUUGGACAAUGGGCGCAAGCCUGAUCCAGCCAUACCGCGUGGGUGAAGAAGGCCUUCGGGUUGUAAAGCCCUUUUGUUGGGAAAGAAAAGCAGCAGGUUAAUACCCCGCUGUUCUGACGGUACCCAAAGAAUAAGCACCGGCUAACUUCGUG